rnacentral:rRNA from 1 species
UACGUUCCCGGACCUUGUACACGCCGCCCCGUCAAGCCAUGGGAGUUGGGAGGACCUGAAGACAGUAACCAUUACAGGAGCUGUUUAGGGUUAAACCAGCGACUGGGGCU